AUUGAACGCUGGCGGCAGGCCUAACACAUGCAAGUCGAACGAAUGGCGGACGGGUGAGUAAUGUCUGGGAAACUGCCUGCUGGAGGGGGAUAACUACUGGAAACGGUAGCUGAUACCGCAUACCAUCGGAUGUGCCCAGAUGGGAUUAGCUAGUAGGAGGGUGAAAGGCUCACCUAGGCGACGAUCACUAGCUGGACUGAGAGGAUGACCAGACACACUGGAAAUGAGACACGGUCCAGACUCCUACGUGAGGCAGCAGUGGAGAAUAUUGCACAAUAGGCGCAAGCCUGAUGCAGCAACGUCGAGGGUAUGAAGAAGGCCUUCGAGUUGUAUAGUACUUUCAGCAUCGAGGCGUUACCCUCAGAAGAAGCACAGGCUAACUCCGUGCCAGCCGCCGCGGUAAUAC
rnacentral:rRNA from 1 species